rnacentral:rRNA from 1 species
CACGUAGGGUGCAAGCGUUGUCCGGAAUUAUUGGGCGUAAAGAGCUCGUAGGCGGUCUGUCGCGUCUGCUGUGAAAACUCGGGGCUCAACCUCCAGCCUGCAGUGGGUACGGGCAGACUAGAGUGCGGUAGGGGAGAUUGGAAUUCCUGGUGUAGCGGUGGAAUGCGCAGAUAUCAGGAGGAACACCGAUGGCGAAGGCGGCACUCUGGGCCGGUACUGACGCUGAGGAGCGAAAGCGUGGGGAGCGAACAGG